rnacentral:rRNA from 1 species
UACAGAGGUCUCAAGCGUUGUUCGGAUUCAUUGGGCGUAAAGGGUGUGUAGGUGGCGCCGUAAGUCGGGUGUGAAAUUUCGGAGCUUAACUCCGAAACUGCAUUCGAUACUGCGGUGCUUGAGGACUGGAGAGGAGACUGGAAUUCAUGGUGUAGCAGUGAAAUGCGUAGAGAUCAUGAGGAAGACCAGUGGCGAAGGCGGGUCUCUGGACAGUUCCUGAAGCUGAGGCACGAAGGCCAGGGGAGCAAACGGG